AUUGAACGCUGGCGGCAUGCUUUACACAUGCAAGUCGAACGGCAGCGCGGGGCACCCUGGCGUCAGUUGGCGAACGGUUAAUUAAUAUAUCGGAACUUCCCCAGAAGGGGGGGUAAACUUAGCGAAGGUUCCCCUAAUACCGCUACCGAUCUACGGAUGAAGGUAGGGGCCCCCAAGGCCUUAUGCUUUUGGAGCGGCCGAUAUCUGAUUAGCUAGUUGGUGAGGUAAAGGCUCACCAAGGCGACGAUCAGUAGCUGGUCUGAGAGGACGACCAGCCACACUGGAACUGAGACACGGUCCAGACUCCUACGGGAGGCAGCAGUGGGGAAUUUUGGACAAUGGGCGCAAGCCUGAUCCAGCAAUGCCGCGUGAGUGAAGAAGGCCUUCGGGUUGUAAAGCUCUUUUGUCAGGGAAGAAACGGUAGAGGCUAAUAUCCUUUGCUAAUGACGGUACCUGAAGAAUAAGCACCGGCUAACUACGU
rnacentral:rRNA from 1 species